UACGGGGGGGGCAAGCGUUGUUCGGAAUUACUGGGCGUAAAGGGCGCGCAGGCGGCUUUGUUUGUCAGGCGUGAAAGCCCCGGGCUUAACCUGGGAACUGCGUUUGAUACGGCAGGGCUAGAGUUCGGGAGAGGAGAGUGGAAUUCCCAGUGUAGAGGUGAAAUUCGUAGAUAUUGGGAAGAACACCGGUGGCGAAGGCGGCUCUCUGGACCGAUACGUGACGCUGAGGCGCGAAAGCGUGGGGAGCAAACAGG
rnacentral:rRNA from 1 species